UACGUAGGGGGCAAGCGUUGUCCGGAAUGACUGGGCGUAAAGGGAGUGUAGGCGGCCUUGUAAGUUAGAUGUGAAAUCCUACGGCUUAACCGUAGAACUGCAUCUAAAACUGUGAGGCUGGAGUGCAGGAGAGGUGAGUGGAAUUCCUAGUGUAGCGGUGAAAUGCGUAGAUAUAUGGAAGAACACCAGUGGCGAAGGCGGCUCUCUGGUCUGCAACUGACGCUGAGGCUCGAAAGCAUGGGUAGCGAACAGG
rnacentral:rRNA from 1 species